rnacentral:rRNA from 1 species
AGUGAACGCUGGCGGUAGGCCUAACACAUGCAAGUCGAACGGCAGCACAGUAAGAGCUUGCUCUUACGGGUGGCGAGUGGCGGACGGGUGGGGAAUACAUCGGAAUCUACUUUUUCGUGGGGGAUAACGUAGGGAAACUUACGCUAAUACCGCAUACGACCUACGGGUGAAGGCAGGGGAUCUUCGGACCUUGCGCGAUUGAAUGAGCCGAUGUCGGAUUAGCUAGUUGGCGGGGGAAAGGCCCACCAAGGCGACGAUCCGUAGCUGGUCUGAGAGGAUGAUCAGCCACACUGGAACUGAGACACGGUCCAGACUCCUACGGGAGGCAGCAGUGGGGAAUAUUGGACAAUGGGCGCAAGCCUGAUCCAGCCAUACCGCGUGGGUGAAGAAGGCCUUCGGGUUGUAAAGCCCUUUUGUUGGGAAAGAAAAGCAGCAGGUUAAUACCCCGCUGUUCUGACGGUACCCAAAGAAUAAGCACCGGCUAACUUCGUG